rnacentral:rRNA from 1 species
AACGAACGCUGGCGGCAUGCCUAACACAUGCAAGUCGAACGAGACCUUCGGGUCUAGUGGCGCACGGGUGCGUAACGCGUGGGAACCUGCCCUUAGGUUCGGAAUAACUCCCCGAAAGGGGUGCUAAUACCGGAUAAUGUCUUCGGACCAAAGAUUUAUCGCCUUUGGAUGGGCCCGCGUUGGAUUAGCUAGUUGGUAGGGUAAAAGCCUACCAAGGCGACGAUCCAUAGCUGGUCUGAGAGGAGGAUCAGCCACACUGGGACUGAGACACGGCCCAGACUCCUACGGGAGGCAGCAGAAGGGAAUAUUGGACAAUGGGCGAAAGCCUGAUCCAGCAAUGCCGCGUGAGUGAUGAAGGCCUUAGGGUUGUAAAGCUCUUUUACCCGGGAUGAUAAUGACAGUACCGGGAGAAUAAGCUCCGGCUAACUCCGUG